UGGGGAAUAUUGGACAAUGGGCGAAAGCCUGAUCCAGCCAUGCCGCGUGUGUGAAGAAGGUCUUCGGAUUGUAAAGCACAUUAAGUUGGGAGGAAGGGCAUUAACCUAAUACGUUAGUGUUUUGACGUUACCGACAGAAUAAGCACCGGCUAACUCUGUGCCAGCAGCCGCGGUAAUACAGAGGGUGCAAGCGUUAAUCGGAAUUACUGGGCGUAAAGCGCGCGUAGGUGGUUUGUUAAGUUGGAUGUGAAAUCCCCGGGCUCAACCUGGGAACUGCAUUCAAAACUGACUGACUAGAGUAUGGUAGAGGGUGGUGGAAUUUCCUGUGUAGCGGUGAAAUGCGUAGAUAUAGGAAGGAACACCAGUGGCGAAGGCGACCACCUGGACUAAUACUGACACUGAGGUGCGAAAGCGUGGGGAGCAAACA
rnacentral:rRNA from 1 species